GUCGGGGUGGCUCAGCAGGUUAGAGCGUCGGACUCAUAAUCCGAAGGUCGUGGGUUCAAUUCCCACCCCCGACA
rnacentral:tRNA from 1 species